UCCGGACCGUCAGUACCAGUCUCGAGGCUGAGGCGGGGAGAUGGCGUUCCGCAGCAAGAGACCGGAGCACGGCGGGCCUCCCGAGCUGUUUUACGAUAAGAAUGAAGCCCGGAAAUACGUGCGCAACUCACGGAUUAUUGACAUCCAGACCAAGAUGGCUGGGCGAGCUUUGGAGCUUCUCUGUCUGCCUGAGGGUCAGCCCUGUUACCUUUUGGAUAUUGGCUGUGGUUCUGGGCUGAGUGGAGAUUAUCUCUCGGAUGAAGGGCACUAUUGGGUGGGCAUCGACAUCAGCCCCGCCAUGCUGGAUGUGGCCUUGGACCGGGAAACUGAGGGAGACCUGCUUCUGGGGGACAUGGGCCAGGGCAUCCCCUUCAAACCAGGCUCCUUUGAUGGUUGUAUCAGCAUUUCUGCUGUACAGUGGCUCUGUAACGCAAACAAGAAGUCUGACAUCCCUGCCAAGCGCCUGUACUGCUUCUUUUCUUCUCUCUACUCUGUGCUGGUCCGUGGAGCCCGUGCCAUCCUGCAGCUGUACCCUGAGAACUCAGAGCAGUUGGAGCUGAUCACAGCCCAGGCCACCAAGGCUGGCUUCACGGGUGGCGUGGUGGUGGACUUCCCCAACAGUGCCAAGGCCAAGAAGUUCUACCUCUGCUUGUUUUCUGGGCCGUCAACCUUUCUGCCUAGGGCCCUGAACGAGAGUAAGGACGACGAGGAGGUCCAGGAGUCCGAGUUCACGAGCGAGAGGACAUCCUUGGGUCGUGCACUCAUGUGCUCAGGAAAUGGCUGUUACUCAAAUGGAUCCUGUACAGGAUGGCGAAGCGCAGGAUCAUGAGGAAGAGUCGCGAGUGGGUGCUAGCAAAGAAGGCGCGCUACAGGCGGCAGGGCGAGGCGGUCAGACCGGACACCCGCUACACCGGCCGCAAGCGCAGACCCCGCUUCUGAGCGGCGAGCCGGACAUGUUUGGAGGCCCAGCGAUGCGCCGCGCCUCGCCACCCACCUUGUCGCCUGCCGGGGUUCUCUCUGUUGAAGUGCCUACUUCCAUUACCUGACAAGAUACUGUUUCAGAAAAGUUCUCAAGUUCUAACCAUUUCUCUUCACUAACAAAAGUUCUUGUUCUAAAAGCAAUAAACCACUUUUUGUGGAA